GACGGAGGAUGCAAGUGUUAUCCGGAAUCACUGGGCGUAAAGCGUCUGUAGGUGGUCAAAUAAGUCAACUGUUAAAUCUUGAGGCUCAACCUCAAAAUCGCAGUCGAAACUAUUAGACUAGAGUAUAGUAGGGGUAAAGGGAAUUUCCAGUGGAGCGGUGAAAUGCGUAGAGAUUGGAAAGAACACCGAUGGCGAAGGCGACUUUCUGGCCUAUAACUGACGCUGAGGCGCGAAAGCGUGGGGAGCAAACAGGG
rnacentral:rRNA from 1 species